rnacentral:rRNA from 1 species
UACGGGGGGGGCAAGCGUUGUUCGGAAUUACUGGGCGUAAAGGGUCUGUAGGUGGCCAACUAAGUCAGACGUGAAAUCCCUCAGCUUAACUGGGGAACUGCGUCUGAGACUGAUUGGCUCGAGGACAGGAGAGGAACGCGGAAUUCCAGGUGUAGCGGUGAAAUGCGUAGAUAUCUGGAGGAACACCGGUGGCGAAGGCGGCGUUCUGGACUGUUUCUGACACUGAGGCUCGAAGGCCAGGGGAGCAAACGGG